AUUUUGGUGUGUUCUAGGUUCAGAGGAAUAGAGACAGAAAACACGUAUAAUACACAAGUUUCUUCCCAAGUCAGAAAAGUAAUUUGCUGUGUAAGCUGGCAAAUAUAGCUCAGUGGAGACACCAGAAUGAACACCAACAUUUUUAAGCCUCAUAAAAGAUGCCUUGCUGUGUUGGAUUGGGAAUUAUUCAAUUCAAACCCAGUUCAGGAUUUGAAAUUAAUUUGGAAGGUAGUGCAUAUUUUUCUUUCUAGGAUUGCCAAAGCAGAACCCCAAAGCUACGCAUAUGGGAGAAAACAACAACAACCCACCUCUAGAGAGAGAAGAAACUCUCAGAUGAAUUAACUAAGAAAAACUACAAGAAAAAGACAGGAAGGAAGCUAACCUAGCUAUCAAUGAACAUCUCAGUGAAGCUGCCCAAGACAGAAGUGCUCUUCAGCAGCAGAAAAUAACAGAUUGUGAGGUAAAAAAACCCUGUAGAAUAUCCUGAGGAGAGCAUCAGAAAGUUGAAACAUAUCUAGUAGAUAUCAUUAGGGCAAAAAGCCCAGUCACCCAAAGAGAAAGUGGAUGUGUGGACUCAACUUCAAAGGCUGCAUUUGACAUUUUGAUAAUUUAUUGUGUGCUUUCUGAGCAUCUGCGGAGUCUACAUAUCUUAAGCAUUACUUAGGAGAGCUAAUCUGAAGACUGCACUUUCCUGGUGCAAUGGUGGAGGAGCAUGACACGCAAAAAGAAGAAAAUUGCUUGUCUGAAACAGUGGCCGUUUCAGCUAUUCUUGCCCGCCACCUGGAAGGGGAGGAUGAACUGCUCACCACACAGUCCUGACCUAGCACAGGAACCAGCCUGCUGCAGUCCAGGAAACCCAGGGUAAUGCGAGUGUUAAUACCCACUUCUGUCAGAGCUACCUGGAUUACAUCCAAGCCUGGAGGGCAGGGCGCUGGACCAGAGGCACACUGUAAGGUAACACUUAAAUAUGUAGUGUUGCAGGCAACCAGAGCAGUCAGAUUUGCAUACUGGAUUCUGAAGCACAGGCGGUUGUGCAACAGGAGGUGUUUGUUACAGACAUGUAUAUGCAACGUAAAGAUGGCUCCACCUAUGCUAUUGGUGAUGGCUGUUUCAGUAGGUUGUUAUGCAGUUCUGUACGUGGUCAGAUGAUGUGAAUCUUAUACAGUGGCUGAAUGUUUUUCCAACAGCAGGUUCCUGUUUUUUCUUUAAUAUACCUCAAAACUUAGUUUCCCGCUCAUGUUUCCCGACUUUGUGCCUUUUGCCUCUUGUCCUGUCACUGGGCACCACUGAGAAGAACCUGCCUCUGUUGUCUUUACUUCCCCCAUCAGGUCAGGUACUGCAGUCACUUAAUCACCUUUGUGGCCCUGCACUGGACUCGUUCCUGUAUGUCCGUGUCUCCUAGUGGGGAGCCCAGCACUGGACCCAGCACUCCAGACGUGUCUCAUCAGGGGAAGGAUCACCUCCCGCAAUCUGCUGGCAGUGGUCUGCCUAACGCAGCACUUUCUGCAAGGACACAUUGGUGACUCAUAAUUGUAAUUGUUUAUUUUAAAAUGUUCUACCUUAUUCCUAAACGGAAUCACAGAAUGGUAGGGGCUGGAAGGGACCUCUGGAGAUCAUCUUGUCCAACCCCCCUGCUUGAGCAGGCACACCUACAGCAGGGGGCACAGGAGCACGUCCAGGUGGGGUUUGAAUGUCUCCAGGGAAGGAGACUCCACAGCCUCCCUGGGCAGCCUGUGCCACUGCUCUGGCACCCUUUGUAUUGUUUCUGUCCCAGUCUUCCUGAAUAUGUGUAUGUAUCUUCAGUAAAUCCUCCAAGCACCACAUCAACCAUACUCGUUUAAUUAACUCACUGAGGUCCACCUUAAAACAAAUAUAUUUGUUUUCAGAAACCACACUGGAUCCAUUUUUCUUAAAUUGUUUUCCUCUUAUUUAUGUAACUAAAUAGACUUUUGCUAUCAGUUUUCCUUGCAAAAUCUGUUUCUGAAAAGCUGUCCAUGGCACCAUUCCUCCCUCUAUCCCCCUCUGCCAGCUCUCAUGCCCCUGGAUACUGCUUCAGCAGCAAACUGCGAUGAGCAUCAUUUCUUUGUUAGCAGACAGAACAGAUGAUUUGUCUGUGGUCAUUCCAGCCUGUAAUAUUUGCUGCUUUCCCUUUUUUUGUUUGUUCAUGGCAUGGUUGACCAGGAAUACCUAGCCCAAAGAAAACCACAGGCAGUGGUUUGCUGGCAUCUGGUUUGUACGGAUCAAAGUGCAGGAGCAUUUUCUAUUAUUAUCUUGGUAAAAGUACUCAGAGGAUCAACUGCUUUUUCUGUUGUUGCUUCCAGAUUUCCUCAGUGAUCUCCACUGGAAACUUCCUGAAGCCAGUGCCUGAAUUUACACACAAUUUUCAAUUGAGUGUUACUGACAGAGAAUUUGGGAUAGCUGAAGAGGUUGGUAGCUGGAAAGGUGUAAGAAUAAGAAGUAAGGGAUGUGGAAAUCAAAGUCAAAAUAAAAGCCAGUACUUGAGAAAAAAGAUACAGGAAAUUUGGCCAGUUACCACUGGAUGGCUCUGCACAGGAAUUACAGACCUGUGCCAACACAACUAAUGUAACCAGACCUCUGUAAUAUCUCUCGGGUUUCUGCAAUUUUUGUGGUAUUUUGAUACACUGUCAAAAGGAAUUCCUUCGUAGUAGCCUGAGCGUGACUGCCUUCACUUUUAUUACGUGACACUGAGGUAUAGUAGAAAACUGAAAAACGAGAUGUGCUGGUUUGGGCUGGGCUAGAGUUAAUUUUCUUCACAGUAGCUAGUAUGGGGCUGUGUUUUGGAUUUGUGCUGGAAACAGUGUUGAUAACACAGGGAUGUUUUCGUUACAGCUGAGCAGUGCUUACACAGAGUUAAGGGCUUUUCUGCCCCUCACCCCACCCCACCAGCGGUCAGGCUGGGGGUGCACAAGGUGCUGGGAGGGGGCACAGCUGGGACAGCUGACCCCAACUGACCAAAGGGAUAUCCCACACCACAUGAUGUCAUGCUCAUAUAAAUCUGGGGAAGAAGAAGGAAGCAGGGGAGUUCAGAGUGAUGGCAUUUGUCUUCCCAAGUAACCGUUACACGUGAUGGAGCCCUGCUGUCCUGCAGGUGGCUGAACAUCUGCCUGCCCGUGGGAAGGAGUGAAUGAAUUCCUGGCUUUGCUUUGCUUGUGUGCGUGGCUUUUGCUUUUCCUGUUAAACUGUCUUUAUCUCAACCCACGAGUUUUCUCACUUUUACCCUUCUGAUUCUCUCCCCCAUCCCACUGAGGGGGGAGUGAGCAAGCAGCUGCGUGGGGCUUGGUUGAUGGCUGGGGUUAAACCACAACAGGAGAAAAACCCUAUCUAUUGCACAAUCCUGUUUCCAGUUAAAAGGCCUUUGCCUUACAUCUUAAAGCCUCACCACUAGUGACUGUCACUGAACCGAGAGGUACAUUAGCAGCAUGAUGCAUGAUUUAUUUUUAACAAAGACUCAAUGCAAGCAUUGCAGUUAGAGUGGGCAUCAUGUGGCAGGAUUUUAUACAGGUAGGCAGUGUUCCAGCCAGUCUUCAUUGCCUUUGGAAACAGUAUUUGAAACUUUUAUAAUAUAAUUAGCUAGUUCCUCCUUUGGAAUCACACAGAAAAUCUUGGCUUAUCCCAGAGACAAGUGGGAAUCUAACAGAAAGCCAGGGGGAAAACUGCUGGUAUGGUACGGAGCUAGUCCUGCAGAGCUGAAUAGUCUUCCUUGUCCUCAGGAUGCAGACAGGUGAAACAACAAGCUCCUUCUCUUGUCAGCUGGGAUUUGCUGAGGCUUAGAGCUUAUUAAAUCUGGAGACCUGCUGACAAGGGGAUCCAGGCUCACCCAGAGGUGAAAAAACAGAAGAAGGUUCUUGGGGGGAGAAAGCCAAGGCGAGGAGAGAAAGGCAGGUGACACCCUGCUCUGCCAACAUUGGUAAAACAACUUCAGGCUCUGUUGCCCUCUUCCUAGGCCGGUGCUGUGGGCUGCUGGAGUCUCCGCACUAGAUACCGUAUCUGUACAGACGACUCCUUUGAUAAAAGGUGAAACUACUUUCCAAGGAGCAAAAAUAUUU